ACCUCGUGAUCCGCCUGCCUCAGCCUCCCAGAGUGCUGGGAUUACAAGCGUGAGCCACUGCGCCCGGCCUCCUCUGGGUAAUUUUAAAGAUGCAUAUUGUUGGGCAUCAGACUAGUCCUGAUGAAUCACAUUUUCUGAAAUGUACCUCAGGAUUCGUAUUAUUAACGCACAUUCUCUCCCCCUCUAAUUUUAAUGUGUAAGGCAAACAUUAAGAACGGCUCUAAGUAGCUACGAGAAUGAUGGGAAACAAUUACGUGGUUCAUGGAACUAUGAAGGGAGAUCCUGUAAUCUUCAGCAAAGGCUCCUUGGAGCUGGGAAGGAAUGAGAUUUGCACCACUGUAAACCCUACAGUAUUUCCAGCCCAAGAAUAAGGAGGGAGAAGCUGAGCUGAGGGCUACAGACAACACCGUGUACAAACCACAGCAAAUUUAUUACUCAAGAUCCAGUGCCACAUUAUAGCACCACCCGAAGCCCUCACCUUCCCCCUCCCAACCUGGCCCCUAGAGUACACCCAAAACAGAAAAAAAAAAGGAAACCCAGAUCCCUGCUCCUCCUCUGGAAGAGGGGGCCUUGGCCAGGAAGCCCCUUCCAUAGGUCCCAGCAGGCAGGAGAGUGGACCCCUCUGUGCCCAGAGAGCAAGGCUCCAGGCUCCAACAACA
rnacentral:lncRNA from 1 species